UUCCCUACACGACGCUCUUCCGAUCUUUGGCAUCUGGAGCCGAAGAAGGACGUAGCAAUCUGCGAUAAGCCUCGGGGAGCUGAUAAGCGAGCUUUGAUCCGAGGAUGUCCGAAUGGGGAAACCCCGCUGGGAGCUUCGUGCUACCCAGUGACUCCCGCCUGAAUAUAUAGGGCGGGUAGAGGGAACGUGGGGAAGUGAAACAUCUCAGUACCCACAGGAAGAGAAAACAACAGUGAUUCCGGUAGUAGUGGCGAGCGAAACCGGAACAGGCCAAACCGAUCAUGUGUGAUAGCCGGCAGGCGUUGCAUGGUCGGGGUUGUGGGACUCUUACGGUUUUCUGCCGAAAACCACGUAGAUAGUUGUUGUAUAGACAAAUGGUCUUGAAAGGCCAGCCGCAGAGGGUGCCAGCCCCGUAGUUGAAAUGCAGCACUAAUGCGAAGAGGAUCCCAAGUAUCACGGGGCCCGAGAAAUCCCGUGUGAAUCUGCCAGGACCACCUGGUAAGCCUAAAUACUCCCAGAUGACCGAUAGCGGACAAGUACCGUGAGGGAAAGGUGAAAAGUACCCCGGGAGGGGAGUGAAAUAGAACCUGAAACCGUUUGCUUACAAUCCGUUGGAGCCUCCUUGUAGGGGUGACAGCGUGCCUUUUGAAGAAUGAGCCUGCGAGUUAGCGAUAUGUGGCGAGGUUAACCCGUGAGGGGUAGCCGUAGCGAAAGCGAGUCUGAAUAGGGCGAUUCAGUCGCAUGUCCUAGACCCGAAGCGAAGUGAUCUAUCCAUGGCCAGGUUGAAGCGACGGUAAGACGUCGUGGAGGACCGAACCCACUUGGGUUGAAAACCGAGGGGAUGAGCUGUGGAUAGGGGUGAAAGGCCAAUCAAACUUCGUGAUAGCUGGUUCUCUCCGAAAUGCAUUUAGGUGCAGCGUUGCGUGUUUCUUGCCGGAGGUAGAGCUACUGGAUGGCCGAUGGGCCCUAAAAGGUUACUGACGUCAGCCAAACUCCGAAUGCCGGUAAGUAAGAGCGCAGCAGUGAGACGGUGGGGGAUAAGCUUCAUCGUCGAGAGGGAAACAACCCAGACUACCGACUAAGGUCCCAAAGCGUGUGCUAAGUGGAAAAGGAUGUGGAGUUGCAUAGACAACCAGGAGGUUGGCUUAGAAGCAGCCACCCUUGAAAGAGUGCGUAAUAGCUCACUGGUCAAGUGAUUCCGCGCCGACAAUGUAACGGGGCUCAAGCACACCACCGAAGUCGUAGCAUUCAAACUAUAGGUAGGCCUUCGUGGUCCAGCCGUGUGAAUGGGUAGGAGAGCGUCGUGUGGCGAGCGAAGCGGCGGAGUGAUCCAGCCGUGGACGCCACACGAGUGAGAAUGCAGGCAUGAGUAGCGAAAGACGGGUGAGAAACCCGUCCUCCGGAAGACCAAGGGUUCCAGGGCCAGGCUAAUCCGCCCUGGGUAAGUCGGGACCUAAGACGAGGCCGACAGGCGUAGUCGAUGGACAACGGGUUGAUAUUCCCGUACCCGCGAAGAACCGCAAGAGCUAAACCAGUAAUGCUAAGAGUCCGAAUUCUCUUUCUGAUCCCUUCGGGGUGAGGAUUGAGAGCUAGCACUCGACCCUAUGCUGGCGCGGCUAGCGUAUUAACAGGUGUGACGCAGGAAGGUAGCUGAGCCGGGCGAUGGUUGUCCCGGUGUAAGGAUGUAGGGCGAGGAAUAGGCAAAUCCGUUCCUCACGAAGCCUGAGAUCCGACGCGUACCCCUCACGGGGGAAAUCAGUGAUCCUAUGCUGCCAAGAAAAGCAUCGACGCGAGGUUCUAGUGGCCCGUACCCCAAACCGACUCAGGUGGUCAGGUAGAGAAUACUAAGGAGAUCGAGAGAAUCGUGGUUAAGGAACUCGGCAAAAUGCCCCCGUAACUUCGGGAGAAGGGGGGCCGGAUUGGUGAAGGGAUUUACUCCUGGAGCUAUGAAGGCCGCAGAGACCAGUGGGAAGCGACUGUUUACUAAAAACACAGGUCCGUGCUAAGUCGCAAGACGAUGUAUACGGACUGACGCCUGCCCGGUGCUGGAAGGUUAAGAGGAGCGGUUAGCACUUGUGCAAAGCUGCGAAUUUAAGCCCCAGUAAACGGCGGUGGUAACUAUAACCAUCCUAAGGUAGCGAAAUUCCUUGUCGGGUAAGUUCCGACCUGCACGAAUGGCGUA
rnacentral:rRNA from 1 species